rnacentral:rRNA from 1 species
ACGAUUGAAGCCAGUCGUACCUUCGGGUAAUCAGCCUUUCGGGUGCGAUUCUGUGGAGUUUGAGGAGCUUAACACCUUCAUGCUUUGCAUAUUCGUGCUCUUGGGUGUACUUGCUCGUAUGGUUGGUUAACAUCAAUUUUGGUGGUCAUAAAAUGACGGGAGGAAUGUAGCUUCGAUCUCGUAUGGAAGUGUUAUAGCCUUCGGUAGAUGUGAUGACUGAGAUUGAGGAUUGCAACGGAUACCCUUCGGGGCUACCUGUCUGAUCUCUGUUCGUUGCUCGGGUGCCGAAAGCUUGCUUACGGUUGUCAAAGUCGGAUGGUCAAUAGGUUAGAAUGGGUUAAAUUCGUUAAGGAUGUGGACGUA